GCUGUAAUGGCAGGUCAGCAUACUGCCGUGAAUACGUUCCCGGGCCCUUGUACACACCGCCCGUCACACCAUGAGAGUUGGGAAUACCCGAAGCCUGUGAGCUAACGUUAAGAGGCAGCAGUCGAAGGUAGAAUCAAUGAUUGGGGUGAAGUCGUAACAAGGUACC
rnacentral:rRNA from 1 species